rnacentral:lncRNA from 1 species
CUUCCUCAAGGCGUUUGCCAUGGAGUAAAAGGCUGCGGAUGAAGCAGUGUUUAACAAAAUAUACCAUCAACCUCAGUGAAGGAUGGCACCCUCCUUAACACAGGUGUGGUUAAAGUUCAAGCAUUAUGUUUCUUCUCACAAUUGAACUGUGUGCGUGUGUAUGUUCUCUCUUUCCAUGGACACCUCUCUGUCUCAACCUCAAAAGUCAAACCACUACCACUAACAAACAACCCUGAAUUUUAGCACCCCAAAAGAACUCCCAGUACAAGAAUUCCACCAUCCCACGUCUCCUUCAAUUCCAUCAAAACCAAACUACUUUUCUUAAUCAACCUUCUACAUGUUAUGUAACAACAACAUCCCUUGCCAUGUUGGAUUUUAUUUUCCAUUUAAAUAACAAUUCACGAUAUCCUAUUUUAGGAAUUGCAUCCUUCUCUAUCAUCCUUUAGAAAUGCAUGAUUUGUUGCUGUCGUGAAGAAUGUAAAUAUUGUGACCCAAAACCAUUCUAUCAGAUCAAGAACUAAAUAAUGGAUAACGUGGAUGGUUUAUUGAAGAUGUUCCUCUUGUUGAAUCAUAUUUAUACUACAUUCAAUUGUUCACAAGUCGAUUGUAGUCGCUCAAUGUCUUAUGCUCCUUCUCCUUAUGAUGGUGAUCCUUCUUUUGGUGGUUCAUUAGUUGCUUAUGGACCACAUGCUAUUAAUCCUGGAAGAAUGGUUCAUCCAAUUCAAAACCAGAUAUGGUCCGCAACAUACUAGACUUUCCCAUAGUUGCGGCAUGCACAAUUCAAGCUCACGCGUUGCAUUAUGAUAUAACGAUGAAACACCCACAUAGAGGAAGAUGGAUUUUGGAGGAUUUUGUACAGCUCCAACUAGUAUUUAUCAAUUAGAGAGGCACAUGAAUACAUGAUAGAUAGGAAGAUAUUGCCAACAUUGCAUUUAAGCACUUUGAGAGAUAAGGCAAUCAAGUCAUAUAUCUAUUAAAAAAUUAGCAGGGGUAAAUUUGGAUAACAACUUUUGUGACUGCAACCACUGGUAUCAAAGCUCUAACUUCCUCCCAUAGUCCAAUCCAUAUCCAACAAAGACAUUCAACAAUAUUCAUCAAAAUUAGUGAUAUGUGGUGAUCCCCAAGCUGGUAAAUGAAAUUUUCCAAUUCUACUUUAUUAUUUUUAUAUUUAUAUGUAUUGAUGUAU